GAUGAACGCUGGCGGCGUGCUUAACACAUGCAAGUCGAGCGAAGCGCUUUGGAAAGAUUCUUCGGAUGAUUUCCUUUGUGACUGAGCGGCGGACGGGUGAGUAACGCGUGGGUAACCUGCCUCAUACAGGGGGAUAACAGUUAGAAAUGACUGCUAAUACCGCAUAAGACCACGGUACCGCAUGGUACAGUGGUAAAAACUCCGGUGGUAUGAGAUGGACCCGCGUCUGAUUAGGUAGUUGGUGGGGUAACGGCCUACCAAGCCGACGAUCAGUAGCCGACCUAAGAGGGUGACCGGCUACAUUGGGACUGAGACACGGCCCAGACUCCUACGGGAGGCAGCAGUGGGGAAUAUUGCACAAUGGAGGAAGCUCUGAUGCAGCGACGCCGCGUGAAGGAUGAAGUAUUUCGGUAUGUAAACUUCUAUCAGCAGGGAAGAAAAUGACGGUACCUGACUAAGAAGCCCCGGCUAACUACGUGCCAGCCGCCGCGGUAAGAC
rnacentral:rRNA from 1 species